rnacentral:lncRNA from 1 species
UUUUUUCCGCACUCCUUCGUAAGCGCAGUAAGCGUUGCACAGAUCGAAGUGGUGGUGCAGUGGAAUAGUUCAUCGCGCGUUGGGUAUUCCCGUACUAGCUCCCAAGAGCGAUGUUGAUACUCCUUAGAGUGAGCUCCAUAUCUUUAAUUCAAUAGCAUUUGCGACAACAAUAAAGUGUACUGAGCGCCUAGGUGUCCAGUUGAACACCGAGCAAGAACUUGAAUUUCAUAAUGUCCGAUUUGUCACGCGUUUAUUCGUCCUCCAAAAAGGCAGCCUUGUAUAAGACAACAUAUUGAGAAACGGACAGAGACGAAGUUUGUGGAUGGCUCUUCAGCGUAGUUCUACUGAUGAUCGGUGGCAACCGCCAAGGAAGGACAAGGAAGAGGAGGCGAAUGCAGCGCGUGACUAAAAAGUGCGCGUGAACAAGAAGAUCCAACACAAGCGGAGUCACGUCGCCUUACCAACAUAAUGGCGCAGUCCCCGGAAAAAACGACUUCCCAGGCGGCGCACGCUGCUGCUACUGCCGAAUCGGCGACGGCUGCCGGCGGUGCAGCGCCCCACCUGUCACCCCCGACAACGCUGGUGCCCCCAUCGUCG